GGGAUUGUGGCAGACAAGGUAAUGCGUCGGUCUCUUAAACCGAAUCAUGUGAGUUCGAUUCUCACCGGUCCCAC
rnacentral:tRNA from 2 species